rnacentral:rRNA from 1 species
GACGAACGCUGGCGGCAUGCCUAACACAUGCAAGUCGAACGGAGUUAUUUGAAUGAAGUUUUCGGAUGGAUUUCAGAUAACUUAGUGGCGGACGGGUGAGUAACGCGUGAGCAACCUGCCUUUCAGAGGGGGACAACAGUUGGAAACGACUGCUAAUACCGCAUAACGUAUCGGAACCGCAUGGCUCUGAUACCAAAGAUUAUAUCGCUGAAAGAUGGGCUCGCGUACGAUUAGAUAGUUGGUGAGGUAACGGCUCACCAAGUCGACGAUCGUUAGCCGGACUGAGAGGUUGAACGGCCACAUUGGGACUGAGACACGGCCCAGACUCCUACGGGAGGCAGCAGUGAGGAAUAUUGGGGCAAUGGGCGCAAGCCUGACCCAGCAAUGCCGCGUGAAGGUCACGGCCCUAUGGGUCUUAAACUUCUUUUGUAAGGGAGCAAUAAGCUUUACGUGUAGAGUGAUGAGAGUACCUUACGAAUAAGCAUCGGCUAACUCCG